UUUACAAUCGAUGCAGUAAAAAAAUAGAUAUAACUAAAAUAAAUUAUCUUAUCAUUCCAACAAUAAAGCAAAAUAAAAUUUAAUUUAACUACAAUUUAUUCCAAAUAGAAAUAUUUAUUUAAUUGAAACGAAUAAUUUUUUUAAACUAAAAUCAAUUGAAUUUUUCUAAAUUUUUAAUCUAGAGAGAGUUUAAUUAAGUUUGAAAUAUAAUAGAGGGUAUUUAUAAAAUAGAAUUAGUAAUCGAACAUUGAAUAAUUAAGAGUGGUAAAGUUGGAAUAUAAAUAUUAUUAACUUUAAUAUGGAUGGACACUUCAUGGAAGUGUUAUUUUUGAAAGUUUCUUAAAAUUUACGGGUAUACAUGAUAUUUUAAUUUUUAAAGGAAUAUUUAUAAAAUUAGAUGUUUGUAGAAGGGUAUAGAGGAAAAUUUUUCUAUAUAUAAUAUAUAUUUUAGCUAAGAUUACUAUAUUCUUAUAAAUAUAGAUUUUCUUGUAUACAUAAAUUUUUGGCCAUUGGAUUAAAAAAUGUGCAGUUUGGAUGAUAGUGAACCCUAGGAUUGAGUAGGUGGUUGGUUGACUAAUUUGACCUAAGGGGUGAGAAUGAUCAAAAGGAUAAAUCUGAUGGUCGAAAACUUAUAAGUACAAAAAGAUUUAUACUCAUAAGAAUAUAGUAGCUGGACUCUAUAUUUUACGUUAAUUUUAUUGCAUUAUAUUAUAUGUAGAUUAAAUUAUAAGCCAUUUUCU
rnacentral:lncRNA from 1 species